rnacentral:rRNA from 1 species
GACGUAGGUGGCGAACGUUAUCCGGAAUCAUUGGGCGUAAAGGGUGCGUAGAUGGCAUGAUAAGUUAUUAGUGGGAAAUCGAGGCUCAACCUCGUGGAAGCUAGUAAUACUGUUCUGCUUGAGUACAGAAGAGGUUAACGGAACUCCAUGUGGAGCGGUAAAAUGCGUAGAUAUAUGGAAGAACACCAAUAACGGCGAAGGCAGUUAACUAUUCUGUUACUGACAUUGAGGCACGAAAGCGUGGGGAGCAAAACGG